GGAGCUGGAAGCCAUUGGACUUUGCGCAGACCACCGUGGCUUGAACAUGAGACACAUGUUUUGCCGUGACAAUGGCCAUCAGUGUUUUGUAGUUAGGGCUCGUGAACCUCUUGUUUUUCGUGUAGGACACGUAAGAAGACAAGAAGGUGGUAGUGUUCUCGGCGGUGAAGAUUGUUAAUCUUUUACCAACCGCUUGUGUUACACAACGAUCACAGUGUGUUACACACGAGUUCGAGAGAAAGAAUAAGAUAGACGUUUCAGGCUUAUAAACUUUUCUGAAAAUACUUUUGUGUUAUUGAGAUUCGGUGAUUUUUGUUUACAACAGAUGAUUGAUCUUUAUAUAGAGAUCGAAUCAAUACAAGUAUAAGAGACACAACUCUUUAUACUAAAGGACACAACAUGAAGAGUUACAACUCUUUGUGUAAUAACAUAAAUAACUAACUUAUGUAAAUGUAUCAAGGAGAGAUUAGAUUAUAUAGUUUAACACUCCUCCUUAAUCAUAUCUCGACUUGACUCCAAGCUGCUUCCUUAGAUCUUCAAAUCUUGAACCGCCCAAUGCCUUUGUGAGAAUGUCUGCGAGUUGAUCAUCCCCUUUGCAAUACUUCAGUUCAAUGAUUCCCUUUUGCUCAGCUUCCCUCACGAAAUGGUACUUGAUCUCUAUGUGCUUCGUCCUUCUGUGUUGCACCGGAUUCUUCCCAAUUGCUAUUGCUGAUUUGUUGUCACAUAAGAUCGGAAUGCCUCCUUCAAACUUCUGACCAAAGUCUUCAAAUAGUCUUUGUAACCACACUGCUUGAUUUGCUGCUGCACACACGGCUAUGUACUCUGCCUCAGCCGUUGAUUGCGCCACUGUUUGUUGCUUGCUUGACUGCCAACAAAACAUGGCUGAUCCAAGAGUAAACACAUAACCUGAAGUGCUUUUCUUGUCUUCCUUAGAACCACCCCAAUCGCUGUCUGUGUAGCCUAGAAGUCUUGGUUCUUUCACGCUUGUGAAGUACACUCCAAAGUUUGAUGUUCCUUUGACAUAUCUUAACACCCUCUUGGCUUCUUGGUAGUGCUUCAUGCGAGGUGAUGACAUGUAUCUUGAGAGAUAGCGCUUGCAUACAUCACAUCAGGUCUUGAUGCACACAAGUACAAAAGCCCUCCAAUGAUGCUUCUAUACUUAGUCGGAUCUCCAUACUCCUUGUCAUCCUCAACUCCUUUUCCUUGUGGUGUAAGUGGGUUGCUUACACUCUUGCUGUCUCGCAUCCCAAACUUGUCUACAAGUUUGUUUGCAUACUUUUCUUGUGAAAGAAAUAUGCCUCCAUUGUCUUGAAUUACUUCCAUUCCAAGAAAGUAGUUCAACAAUCCAAGAUCCACCAUCUCGAAUUCUUUCUUCAUGUUCUCCUUGAAUGUGUUGAUGCUCUGAAUGUUGCUUCCUGUGAUGAUUAUAUCAUCCACAUAUAGACUCACGAUCAACACAUCUCCUCCUUGCUUCUUGAUGUAUAAGGCCGCAUCAUUCAUACUCCUCUCAAAACCGUUUUGAAGAAAGUAUGAAUCUAUCCUUCCAUACCAUGCCCUUGGGGCUUGCUUUAAACCAUAUAAAGCUUUGUGUAGCCUUAACACCUUGUGUUCCUUCCCGUGUGUCACAUACCCAGGCGGUUGUGUGACAUACACUUCUUCCUUGAGGUCGCCAUUGAGAAAGGCUGACUUCACAUCCAUCUGAUACAAUUGCCACUUCAUCUGAGCCGCAUAGGCAAGUAUGGCUCGUAUUGUAUCAUGUCUUGAGACAGGAGCAAACGUCUCAAGGUAGUCAACACCAUACUCUUGAGAGAACCCUCUUGCAACUAGCCGCGCCUUGUGCUUGAUGUGAUUGCCGUUUGCAUCGGUCUUGAUCUUGUAGAUCCACUUCACACUUAUCACAUUCUUCUUCUUUGGCUUGUCCACUAGUUCCCACGUCUUGUUCUUCUCAAUCAUGGCUAUCUCCUCAUUCAUUGCUUCUCUCCAUUCCUUGGUACCACACGCUUCAUCAUAAGUGUAUGGUUCUUCAUUUGCAUGAAGACAAGCUUCUAUAGCUUGAGCCGCUUCAUCAAGCUCUACUCUCGGUGCCCUUUCCAUGAUAUCAACCAUGGACUUGAACUUCCUUGGUGCCUCAGAAGUUUCUUCAUCUCCACUACUAGUAUCAUGAUCAUCAUUUUGAAAAGAAAUAGGACUGAAAGUACCUCCAAAUUGUUCCUCAGGACUGGAUGCACCUUCGGUUUGUUCCUCAGGACUGGAUGCACCUUCGGUUUGAUCCUCAGGCGAGUGAGAGUCUUCCAUAGACAACUCCAAUGUCUUCCUCACUUCUUCUUGCCUUUUCCAAUCCCACUUCUUUCCUUCUUCAAACUCGACAUCUCUUGAUACUUCAAUCUUCUCAUUCUCCAAAAUGAGAACUCUAUAGCCUUUGGAUUGGUUGCUAUAUCCAACAAAGACUCCACGCUUUGCCUUGACGUCUAGCUUCCUCCUCUUUUGAUUUGGGAUAUGUAUGUAGCAUAUGCUACCAAACAUUCUCAUGUGUGACACAUCUGGCUUGUGUCCACACCACUUCUCUAUAGGAGUGACAUCUUCUUCUAUUGCCUUUGAUGGCAGACGGUUUUGAAGAUAUGAGGCAGUGUAUACCGCUUCUGCCCAUAACUUGAGCGGUAAGUCUUGCUCUGCCAACAUCGAUCUAGCCAUCUCCACCAAGGUCCUAUUCAUGCGCUCCGCUGCACCAUUUUGUUGUGGUGAAUAAGGCAAGGUGACUUGCUUAUUGAUUCCUUCUUCUUCACAGAACCGGUUGAAUUCUCGUGAAGUGAACUCACCACCUCCAUCUGAUCUCAGUGUCUUGAUGGUACAAUCCGACUGCUUCUCCACCAUUGCUUUGAACUUCUUGAACAGUGAGAAUGUCUCUGACUUUUGCUUCAUGAAGUAUACCCAACACAUGUGAGUAUGAUCAUCCAAGAAUAGCAAAAAGUAUCGGCUUCCAUCAACAGACUGGUGCUGCAUCGGCCCACAUACAUCCGUAUGUACAAUCUCAAGCUUCUCUCUUGUCUUAGUUUGAGAUUCCUUUGGGAAGCUUUUGCGUGAUUGCUUUCCAAGUCUACACGCCUCACAUGCUUCCUUCUUGACUUUAAACUUUGGUAAUCCCUUUACCAAGUCUUUGUCUUGCAUUUGUUGCAACCUUUUGUCGCCUACAUGACCAAGUCUCUUGUGCCAUGUCUCCAUCUUUCCUUGCUCACUAGCGCUCAAGGCCUCUUCUACCUGAGCCGAACUCAUCCUGAUUCGAUAGCUUUUGUGAGUCAUUGGGAUAUCCAUUAUCCUCCUUCCUUUUGCAUCAUCUAUGAUGCAUCUCUUCUCUUGGAAACUCACCCGGUAUCCGCUUGAAACAAUUUGUGGAACACUCAACAAAUUUUUUGCCAAACCCGGAACCAAGAAUACAUUUCUGAUGGUCUUCUUGCCACCUUUGGUCAUGACGGUAAUGUCUCCUUUACCGGCUGUCAUGACUGUGCUUCCAUUUCCAAUCUUUAUUGGAACCUUGAUACUCCUAUCAAGCUUUGAGAAGUAACUCUCCUCCUUUGUCAUAUGAUUAGUUGCUCCACUGUCUACUAACCAGACAUCUUCCAUCACUGUUGUUGCUGCUUCGCUCGCACUGAACAACAUGUGAUCUUCAUUUGAAUCUUCUUCGAGACUCACAUGUGCCUUCUCUUUCUUCUUUGAGUAGCACUGAUUUGCAAAGUGGCCUAACUUGCCACAAUUGUAACACUCCUUGUUACUUCUGUGAUCCUUCUUUGGAUCUUCCUUCUUCUGUUUCCUCCAACACUCGCUCUCAUUGUGGUUGUUUCUCUUGCAGAAACCGCACCACUUCUUGCCUCCUUGGCGCUUUGAGUUGUCUUGUGUAACACCAGAAUUUUUGUGUUUAACACGAGCAUCGAAUGCUCCUUCACUGGUGCUUUCUUCUCUUGCAGCCAGCCUUGCUUCAUGAGCCUUCAAGAUCCCGAUCAACUCUGUCAUCUUUGUUGAAGUCAAAUCGCUUGUUUGCUCCAACACACUGACUAUGCUAUCGAACUUGGCUGGGAGAGAGAUGAGUAUCUUUUGUAUGAGUUGAACAUCUGACUUCUGUUCACCAUGAUAAGUUAAUUGAUUUGCCAAUUCAACUAUCUUAUCUGUGAAGACCUUAAUGUCUUCAUUCUCAUACAUCUUCAGAUUCUCAUACUCCCUUCGCAAUGUUUGAAGUUUAAUCAAACGAACUUGAGGAGAGCCUUCAUACUCCUCCUUCAAUGCAUCCCACGCCUCUUUGGAUGUUGAUGCUGCUGCAAUCCGUGAGAAUAUAUGAUCCGAUACAGCAGUUUGCAAGAUUUGCAAAGCCAAUGUAUCGUUCAUCAUCGCUUCUUCUCUAAGCGAUCUUGCCCUUGCUGUUUCAGGGGUUUCAUCCACUUGUGCUGGUGGGGCUGCUACGCCUUCUUCAACCACAGACCAUAACUUCCUGGUCUUGAGAAUGGUUGUCAUCUUGAUGCUCCAGAAGUCGUACUUCUCUCCAUCAAAUAUGGGGAUUACUUGAUUCUUCAUCGUUUCGAGUGAUUCCGAAAUCGUAUGACAAAAUCCUCUAGCCUCCUUUUCUCCACGCCAAGUGUUUCUGUUACUAGUGCUUUUUUCUUUGUCCUCUCAAACGUAAAGCUCUGAUACCAUGUUAAUCUUUUACCAACCGCUUGUGUUACACAACGAUCACAGUGUGUUACACACGAGUUCGAGAGAAAGAAUAAGAUAGACGUUUCAGGCUUAUAAACUUUUCUGAAAAUACUUUUGUGUUAUUGAGAUUCGGUGAUUUUUGUUUACAACAGAUGAUUGAUCUUUAUAUAGAGAUCGAAUCAAUACAAGUAUAAGAGACACAACUCUUUAUACUAAAGGACACAACAUGAAGAGUUACAACUCUUUGUGUAAUAACAUAAAUAACUAACUUAUGUAAAUGUAUCAAGGAGAGAUUAGAUUAUAUAGUUUAACAAAGAUGGCAUCGUUGAUGGGAUUCUCCGGAUUAGUGCGAGAGCGAAGGCAUUUGAUGAAGUUUCCAAAAUGUGGUUUCGUUAUUGCUGCUUCGGAAACCGAAACAAGAAGAACAAGACACAAUAUGGAUAGUGCUUCUUUCAUAUUUUUUUUUUUGUUUUGUUUUUGUUUUGAUGUAAUAUGACUUACGCUUCUACGUUGAUCUCAAUUUAUAGAAAAAAAUUUCGUCAGGGUCAGGGAAAACUUUUAUCAAAAUAAAUCCGUUGAAUUUUUCAUUUAAAAUUGGAUUUUUGUCAUAUAUGUUUACUUUGAUUUUUUUUUCAAAUAUGGUGGUGCAAUUUGAAUAGCUUAUGCGAUUUUUUCUUUGAAAUAUAUUUUAAUAUAUGGAACUUGUAACGCAACUUACUAUAGAUUAUGGUAAUCAAGUAUUGGAGGACUCUAUCUCAUGGUCAAGAAAACAGAUUGAAAUACAGGCUGCUAUAAUACAGGCUGCUAUUACAGUUUCCUAUUCCACAUCAACAUAUAUAUCUCGAUGCUACUUUAGGGUUUGGUUUAGAAUAACUAUAUUAUCGAAUUCUGAUAUAAUGGAAAAAGUUUUGAAUACACUCAGAUUUUAUUCAUGGAAACGUAAGGUGAGACUUCAUUCAUAUUUUCAAGAAGCCCAUCCUUUAUCGAAAAUAAGUUGUAAUUAAAUGUUGUUCAUUUUUAUGUAAAAAAAUAUUAAUAAUCUAGAAUGCACUGAAUUUUCCUCUCUUCUUGUCCAAUCACUGUUUUUUCUCCGUCGUUGAAUUCAAUUUUAUAGGUUACGUGUUGGCAUGACUGAAAAAGAAAACUAAUGUUUUUUAAGAUUGUUGUGAAAUUUUGAAGCAAACCUUUUUUUCCUAAGACUUUUCUUAGAGCAUAACGUUGAUCAUUUUUUUCCUCUAACAUUAAAUACAUUUAUACAUAUAAACAUUCGCUUUCAAAUGAAAGUAACCACAUUAAUGCACAACUCGAAGAGCCCAUUGUGUUUUGUUCAUACUGAUUGUUUACGGGGGACCCUUGUUUAGGUAAGCAACCACACAGCGACCAAACCUUACGAUUUGGCAUGCAUGUCGGCCGAAAUAUCUUGAAUUGUCUGAACGAUUACGCACGAUCGUAAACUGGAGACUGGAGAGUGCAGAUCCGGUAACUAACAAAGUGAUAUUCCUAAAUUGCCUAAAGUUUUACUCUGUAAUGAUCGGAUACAAUCAUAUAGUAUUCAAAAAAAAUUCCACUAGAUUCUCCGAAGAUGUCGACUUCUAGUUCUAGAUUUCCUGACUCGUUAUUGUUCUUUUAGCGUUAGUUAACUCUGUGUUAGAUAUCUUUGUGGUUUGUUUAGUGAAAUAUUAAGCCUACAUUUCUGUAAAAGAGUGACUAGGCCCGAGCAUUUUACCCGGAUCCAAAAAUCUGAAAAAUCAGCUUUAGUAGGAUAUGGAUAAAUUAAUGUCAUUUUACCCCAUUCGGUCUUGUUGUAUAGGAUCCACGGGUCUUAGACCCAACCCGACCAAACCCAAGACUCGAUAGGACAUCCGAAAUACCCGGUUUAACUGGUUUUAGGUUCAAAAAAUGAUGGGUCUUGACUAUAUUAUAACCUGUUUGAGUGUUGAUUCAAGGUAACAGCAUGACUUAUUUAUAGCUGUUUCUAUUUACCAAAUUUAACAUUUCCCGAUGUUGGAUGUUUCGAAUUAGUAAUUCACUAGGAUAAAACCCGCGCCUUGCGCGGGAUUAAGUUAUUAUUUUUAUUAUAUUUUGGAGAAUGAAACAAUAGUUUGGCUUCAUUUGGAUUACGGGUGUUCAAUCCGAAUAUCGGGUUGGUUUCGGUUCGGUUUGGUUUUUUUCGGUAUUUGGUUAGUAAAAUAUAAUUACUAUUCUAAAUCCAUAUUUACUUUGACUUUAGUCUUUCACAUACUUUUGAAAGAUUUCAACUGGACGACUAAAUUGAUCAGUCAAUCUUAUUGCUUUAAAUCAUUAGUGUUUAUAUAUAUAUAUAUAUAUUAUUUAGUUUAAAUAUUUAUUAAAUAAAAAUUCAUAUGCGUUAUAUUUUAUGAUCAUUUGUAAUUUAUUAUAACAAAAAAAUAAUCUUUUGAUCACAAAAUUUUCAGAGUGAGAAUAUUCAAAUUUCUAAUAAUAUAUAGACGUUUUAAAAAUUCAAAUAUAACAUAUAAGAAAAAAUAUAAAUGUUUUUAUUAUAUAUUUAAUGUGAUUUUUUAAUAUCCUUCAAUAAUAUAAAAUUAAAAAAAAGAACUAAGAUACCAAAAUUGUUAUCAAAUAUUUAUUAUUCAUAAUAAUUAAUUUUCAUAUAUACGUUAAUCAUAUUAGGUAAUUUCGUAGCUUCUAAUUAAGGAAAGUGCAAAAAAUAUUUUGGUAGAUUAUUUAUCAAUUCGAUAGUUAGUUUAAUAAAAAAUAUAAUGUAAGUCAAGAUGGACCAACCUAUUUGUCUAAGAAUAGUAUAUUUUAUAUAGUCAUUUAUUAAAUGAGAAUUUAUAAUCAUACAGUUCUAUGAUCAUUCAUAUCAUUUUAUAACUGAAUAUUUAAAUCAUCGAUAACAAAAUUUUUAAUGUGAAAUCUUUAAUAAGUUUAUAAUUUAUAAAUGUUUUUGAAAAUUCAUUGAAAGUUUUAAUAUUAAAAUAUUUAUGUAAUUUUAUGGUAUAUAGUAUAAUCUAUAUAUAUAUAUAAAUAUAUAUGUUUUAUUAUUAAAUGAUAUUUUUUACUCAUAUGGUUUUAAAAUAAUGUGUAUCUUCUUAUAAUAUUAAAUAAAAGUUCAUAUUAAUACAAUUUUAUGAUCAUUUGUAACUUAUUAUGACAAAAAAAUAAUCUAUUGAUCACAAAAUUUUCAGAGUGGGGAUCUUCAAAUUUCUAAUAAUUUAUAGACGUUUUGAAAAAUUCAAAAUAUAACAUAUAAGAAAAAUUAUAAAUGUUUUUAUUAUAUAUUUAAUGUGAUUUUUAAAUAUAUUUUAAUAAUAUAAAAUUAAAAAAAGAACUAAGAUACAAAAAUUGUUAUCAAAUAUUUAUUAUUCAUUAUAAUUAAUUUUUACAUAUACGUUAAUCAUAUGAGGUAAUUUCGUAGCUUUUAUUUAAGGAAAGUGCAAAACAUUUUUUGGUACGUUAUUUAUCAAUUCGAUAGUUAGUUUAAUAAAAAGUGUAAUAUAAGUUAAGAUGGACCAACCUAUUUUUCUAGGAAUAGUAUAUUUUGUAUAGUUAUUUAUUAAAUAAGAAUUUAUAAUCAUACGGUUCUAUGAUCGUUCAUAUCGUUUUAUAACAAAAUAUUUAAAUCAUCGAUAACAAAAUUUUCAAUCUGAAAUCUUUAAUAAGUUUAUAAUUUAUAAAUGUUCUUGAAAAUUCAUUGAAAGUUUUAAUAUUAAAAUAUUUAUGUAAUCUUAUGGUAUAUAGUGUUUAAUAUAUAUAUAUAUAUAUAUAUAUAUAUAUAUAUAUAUAUAUAUUUAUUUUAUUAUUAAAUGAUAUUUUUUACUCAUAUGGUUUUAAAAUCAUGUGUAUCUUCUUAUAAUAAAAAUGUUAAACCAUUGAUCAUUAAUUUUUAACAUAAUAAUUUUAAUAGUUUUAGUCAUUUAUUGUCGUUUUUAAAAAUUCAAAAUAUAACAUAUACGAAAAAAUCUAAAUUUUAUUUUUAUAGCUAAUUUGAUUGUUUAAUUUAUUUUAAUAAUAUAAAAUUAAACAAAAAAUGAUGGAGGAGAUAUAUAUUGUUAUCAAAUCUUUAUUAUUAAACUCAUUAAUUGUCAUAUAUAUAUUAGUCAUUUAUGGUAAUUCCGUAGGUUUUAUUUAAGGAAAGAAAAUAUCAUAUCAUAUCAUUAUAUCAUAUAGUUUGACCAACUUAUGUAUCUAACAACAUAUAAAAAUCGAAUGUGGACCUACUUAUUUUUCAAUUGAAUGUAAUUGACUGCCUAAUUGAGUGCCACCUAUGCAUUGGGGUCUCUUUUAAUUAAUACAAAAUUGAAGUUACAUAUUUUCAAAUGUUCCUCAAUUAAUAUAUAAGGGAUUAAAAAGAUCAAACUUAAACUGCUAUCGAACCCAACGUAAAGUCCGAACUCUAAUUGAAAUACCACCAGACCACAUUAAAGCAGUGUAACUAUCCUACAAAAUAACUAAUAUAUAUAUAUAUAUAUUUAUAUUUAUAUAUAUACGAAAAAUUCUAAAAAUGUUCAAAAUUAAAUAUCCGUUUAAUACCUGAAUCGGUCUGGACUCGACUUGACUCGAACUGACAAAUUGUAAUUAUUCUAAGACUCGAAACUUUCGGACCCGAUAAGACUCUAACCAAACUCAAUCGGAGACCCGAAUGCCGGCUCAAAAAAAUUUAAGGCCGUCAGGAAAAAAUAUAUAUAUAUGGCCUUUUGGCAAAAAAAAUAGUUAAAACCUAAAUUUAAUAUAAUUGUUUGUUAUUUUAUUAUUUUGCAUGAGAAUUUUCAAAAUAAAUUUAGAUUUUAAAAAUAUAUAACGAAAUUUAGCUAAAUAUUUAAAUCUAUUUUUGUUUAUUAAAUUUCUUUUAAAAAUUGUAAAAGUAAAGAAAUUUUUUUGGACCCUAAGGCCCUAGGCGGUUGUACUCCCCGCCUUAUGCUAUCUAAGCCGCCCUUAAUGCCGUUAGAGAGAUUUGGAAUUUACACAGUUAUUCUAUAAUACUAGAUGAUAAUCUGCGCGGAUGAGUUUUUUAUACUAAUGUUUGUUCAUUAAAUGGUUUAAACAUUUUGCAACACAACAAUUUUUAUCGAUUGUAAAAUGACGAAUACAAAUGUUGGUCUCUUAAAUGUAUCACUCAUUUUAAUUAUUUUUAAGACUUCAUAUGCCCAAAAAGAAAUUAAGGUUUGCGGCUAACACAAAUCACCAAAACCAUAUAGGUAACAUCGAUUAAAAAAUAACGAAAGGAGAUUAGGUUUUCUGCUCGAUUUAUUAACUAUUGACUCUCCAUACGUGAUUUUAUUUUCUGCCUCUAUAAAAUUAUGCCUUUGUUCUCUUUUUGUUUCAUUGAUAUGAGUUUUGUUUAUUUUUUAGUUUUUUCUAUGAAUUCGGUGAAUUACAUAAAUGUCAAUUUAAAAAGAUGGACAUCUGUAAAAUUUAAUUCUACUUCGGAUACAUAUCUAAGAAUCAAAUUUUUGAAGAAAAUCACCGGUAAACUUUGUUCACAAGGUAGUGUCCAAAUCUAAUAUAUCAAGUUGUUAUAUAAUAUAAGUGCAGACUCUAAAUAAAUGUAUGUCUAGUACAUGGUCACCAAUUCGGUCUAAAAAUUAUCUAUUUAUAGAACAAUAAAAUAAAUUACUUAUUUUAUUAACCUACACUUUUGAAGUUUAGUUACUUAAGAAUAUACCAACAAAAGAAAUAUAUAAUACUUUACUUAUAGUAUAUGUAAACUAUGUAUAACUAAGAAUUGUUGGAUUUAUUAAAUGAUAAACCAGAAAACUUAUAAUAAAUCGUUCAAAUUUGUCAUUCUUACAAUUAUAAUAGCUAGAUAUUAGGAAGAACCAAAUAUUAGACGAAUGAUCAAAUCUCUCAUUCUUUGAACAAACUCAAAAAGAAAUGAUUAAAAUCUUGCCAUGAUAUUUCAUUAAAAGUUUUUUUAGGAAUAAAUAUCAAGACAAAAUUAUUUAAUCUGAAUAAAAUAAUAUAUAUAUAUAUAUAUAUAUGUAUAUAAUGCUUCCAAUAUUAAAAAUUACUCGGAUUAUCAGGAUCAAAUAACAUAUUAGAAACCACUUAUUUAAAAUAUAAUUUGUAUACAUAAAAGUAUAUACAUUAGAAUAAGUACAUAGAUCAAAACCAAUACUUUUUGUUAAUUUACAAUCAUGUUUUUUUUGUAACUAAAUCAAAACAAUCAUUUUAUUUAGCUUAUAUGGUAUAUAAUUAAACUUUAGUGAUAUUUACAUAUAUAUAUAUAUAUGUAUAAUAUAUUUUAAUAUAAAUAUUUAUUAUUGAUACUUCCUACUCAGAUGAUUUUAAUAUUAUUUGUGUAUUUAAUGUAACAAAAAUUUAACCCGUUAAUCACAAAACUUUAAAGUGAUAUUUUUCAAUACAAAUUUUAAAAUUAAAAUAAGAUCUCAAUAAUUUUUCAUUACAAAUUUUUAAAAUUUAAAAUCAACAUAUUUAUAUAUUUUAUAUAAUAUAUAUAUAUAUAUAUAAUAUAAGACUUCAUAUUCAUACGAUUUAUGAUCAUUGUAUCUUGAUUGAACAAAAAAGUUAAACCAUUGAUCACAAAAUUUUCAAUAUGAGAUUUUCACCAUUUUUAGUAAUUUAUUGUCGUUUUGAAAAAUUCAAAAUAUAACAUAUAAAAAUAUCUAAUUUUUUAAUUAAAUGCUUGAUGUUAUUGUUUAAUUUUUUUUUAAUGAUAUAAAAUUAAAAAAAAAACAUACAAAAAUUGUUAUCGUAUAUGUAUUAUUUAUUCAUAAUAAUUAAUUGUCAUAUAUAUAUGUUAUUCACAUAGAUAAUUUCGUAACUUUUUUUUAAUAAAAUGAAAAGUAUUCUUUGGAACAUUACUAAUCAAUUUUUUUUUCCGUCAACAUUUCAUUAAAAUAGAAAAGGGCCCAGCCCUACAAUAUUACAAGAUAAAGGCCCACGGCCCAAUUACCAAAACCUACCAAACCCUUGACAAUCCGGCCCACAGGCCCACAAACCCAAACCCCGACACUGCCCUAAUCCAGGAACCCGUGUCGGCGAAACCUAAUCACGUCUCGUCUCAUCCCGGCGGUUACAGUCAGCGGCUCUCAUCCGCCGCGCUUGUUACGGAGAGCGUCAUCGGACUAACCGAGAGCUCAUCCCAAUCAUCAACUCCACCUACUGGAUAUAUCAAGCCCGAGACUCAAGCACUCUGCUUUCCUUCUCUUGUCGUCGUUGGAGAGCUUCAUCGUCUACCGAUAGCUCAUCCCUUCUAAUCCGAACAACCACCCUAACGACAAGAAACCACACCGCAAAUUUCACCCAAUCCAAACUAGAAAAGACAAAGAAAAAAAACCCCAAAAGAGAACGGAGACCUAAAACCGACAGCGUAGAGCUAUGUGAGCCCUUACCCUCCGGAGCCAAAACCGGCGAAGACGGAGCAGAGAAAGCCUCUCCUUCCCGGGAACUAGAACCGGCGGCAGCGAAGCUGAAGAAGCCUCCACCUCCCGGAGAACAAACCACUGACACAUGCAAGCCUCUCUUCUCACGCCGUUAGCCACCACGCGACCGCGUCUUCCCUCCACGCGAGGAAACCACCGUUGGAUGAUGGUUCCAAUCCAGAGCUCCGACAAAGCGAUCGGUGAGGCGCGACGAAGAAGAGGUUAAAAGAAACCUCUUUGAAAAAGAAUAAGGGUUCCGGCGAUGGCACGGACGCUCACGCGCCGGCCAUACGCCGGAGAGAAAUCUCAGAUCUCCUUUCUCUCUCCUUUCUCUCUCCUUUCUCUCUCUAGCACUUCUACACUCAUUACUAAUCAAUUUGAUACUUAGUUUAAUAAAAAAUAUAAUAUAUAUUUAUGUGAAUCAAAUUAUUUUUCUAAUAAUUCUAAGAAUCAUCCUAGAUUUCUAAUGAUGACACGUGACUACCAAAAUAUGUUAUAAUGCUCUAUGAUUAAUUUAUAGGGGAUAAUAUACCAUUUGUAUUUUAGUCUUGUAUGUAGGUGUAUCAAUACAUUUCCUUGUUAAUAUUGUAAGAGUAUGAAUGAGAAUUAUAAUAUUUUAACAUGUUUUGGUUUUAUUUCUGUAGUUUUGUUGGUUAAUAGCCCUGUUCAGAAACUCGCUAGGCGUUACGCGUGCGGUUGAUUCGGACCUAGCGAAUUGAUGGAAAAUCGGAAAAAAAUCGGAGAGUACGCGGAGAUUUUUUUAUAGGGCUUUAUCGCGUGUAUUGGUAUAUAUAUUACGUUUCGCAGACAAAAACAAAGUGUCAUGAUAGUGUAGCGGUUUGUUUAGUAGGGCAUAUGGCUAGCAAACAUGCAUUUGUAUGCAUUUUUGUGUUUAUUUAAUGAGGGGUAAAAGAGUAAUUAGCUCUUCAUCUUCUUCCUUCAACUCAUUUCGCCUGCAACCCUAGCCGCCAUAAUUUUUUUCAACCUAAUUCUUUGUUUAUUUGGGUGAUUUGUCUCGUUUUCACUUAGUUUUCGUGAUUUUAGCAACAAAACGUAAGAAAUUUAAGAUUCAAGUGUCGAUUUUGAAGUAAAUUUCACCAAAAAAAAUUUUCCCCGAUUUUAUGGCCGAGUAAGGUCAAAACGCCACGGUGCAUCAUCGUUGAGCGUUUAUACGCCGCGUAAUCGGUCACUCCGAGCGAGUUUUUGAACAUGGGUUAAUAGUUGUUUAUUAACAAUGAACAAGACUUAUGAACCUUUAAAUUCACAUAUCCUCUUAUUACCAAUCAAAAUGUCACCUAGAUUAAUAAUAAAAUAAAUUAAUUUUAUUUAAAAAAAUUUGAAAUAAUUGAAAAAAAAAUAUAACGUCAAUUUUGAUGAUGCUAACGCCACUAACUAAACCCUAAACUUUAAAUCUAUAUCCUAAACCCUAAACUUUAAAUUUAUAUCCUAAACCCUAAACUCUAAACUCAAAUCCUGAACCCUAAACCCAAACUGUAAACCCUAAACACAAAUCCUAUAUCCUAAACCCAAAUCCUAAACCCUAAACCCAAACCGUAAAUCCUAAACCUAAAUCCUAAACCCUAAACCCAAACUGUAAACCCUAAACCCAAACCCUAUAUCCUAAACCCAAAUCAUAGACUAUAAACUAAAACCAUAUAACCAAACCUAAUCCAUACACCCUAAACUCAAAUCGUAAACCCUGAACCCAAAUCCUAUAUCCUAAAGGUUUGGGUUAAUGUUGAUGUUUUUUUUUAGGGUUUAAGAUUUGGGUUUAGAGUCUAGGUUUGGGUUUAGGAUCUAGAGUUAGAAUUUGAGUUUAAGGUCUAGGAUUUGAAUUUAAAGUUUACAGUUUGGGUUUAGGAUUAGGGUUUAGAGUUUGGGUUUAGAAUUUAGGGUUUAGAUUUUAGAUUUAAGGUUUAGGGUUUAGUUAGUGGUGUUAACGUCAUUAAAAUGAACGUCAUUAUUUUUUUCAAUUAUUUUAGAAUUCUUUUAAAAAAAUAAUGUAUUUUAUUAUUAAUCUAUGUGGCAUUUUGAUUGGUAAUAAGGGAGGAGGUGAAUUUAAAUGUUCAAAACCUUAGAGUGAACAGUUUUGUUCAUUAACAAUGCCCACGUAACUUAUUAUUAUUUUCUUCUCUUGAGAACACAACUUAUUAUUGUUGAUAAGUAUCUAUAUGAUGGAAGAGUAAUCAACAUUAUACUACAUGAACCGAACAGGAGGAAUACUCUGCUCGUUCUUAAAGAAAUUCUCAGGAUCGUACUUUGCUUUUACUUGCAUCAAUCUCUUCAAAUUCCCCAAGAAAUACUUGGUACCAUAGAUCUUAGCUUCAUCCACGUCUGUCUCACCACUAGGAUUGCUUCCAAUAUCAAUAUCUCUGUAAUUAAAAAACGCCUCUCUCGGGUUACUUGAGACAUACGGUUCCGCAACCUCAUAUAGCUCCCUCAUCAGUCUAAGGGUAGUCUCUGUUUCGCUUGCGUCCAACCAUGUCGCAGAGUAUUGAACCUUGAACAUGUUUCCUUUCCGAUGAGGAUACGCCGUGGCGUUGGCCGGAAUCCUGUCCAUCACUCCACCGUAAGUGUUCAUUUGCAUCCACACAGUGUGUUUGAAUUCAAACAUUUUUUUCCAGAGCUUCUCGAACCCUUCUUUAGGGAUAGGUUUCUUGACGUAAUCAGAUUUGCUUUUGAAGAAUCCUGGAUUCGUAGGUCUUUCUAGAAGAACGCUCGGUGGUGUUCCUUCAGGGUAAUCAGCCCAAAACAGCGUCGUUUCGAACCAGCUCAUUUCGUGACAAUCUUCACGUUUUAGCCCUAACCCAGGCAAGUUCUUGUUUAGUAACGCCAUCAGCUUGUCGGCUCGACCCAAGAACUGAGCGUAGAACACAACCGCGAUGGUUCUCUCGCCAUGUUUUGUUCCGUUUACGACCUGAGGCCAUGCUCUAAUGAAAAGAUCUUCAGGGAACUUGGUGGAGACAAGCUGCCACUUGUAGAGAACAUCAGUGCCUCCUUGUUCCAAUGUUUUGUUAACCCUAAACACUGUCAUGAUCUUUGGAACUUCCACGAGGUUAAUUUUCCAAGAGAGGAUAACUCCGAAGCUCGCACCCCCACCUCCACGAAUAGCCCAAAAGAGAUCUUCUCCCAUGGUAGCUCGGUUCAAGAGCUUGCCGUUGACAUCAACUAAUAGAGCAUCAACGACAUGAUCCACAGUGAUUCCAUAUUUUCUUAUGAGAUUACCGUACCCUCCACCGCUUAUGUGCCCUCCUGCUCCUACCGUAGGGCACACGCCAGCUGGGAACGCUAGCGUUUUGCUUGCGUCUUUGAUCUUUACGUAGAGCUCUCCCAAGGUGGCACCAGCUUGAACCCAAGCUUUCUUGCGUGACACGUCAAUGGUAAUUGACCUAAGAUUGUGCAUAUCAAGAAUGACAAAUGGAACAGAGGAUAUGUAAGAAAGGGCUUCGAGGUCAUGACCGCCACUUCGGGUACGGAGUUGUAUACCGUUGGUCUUUGCGCAGACCACGGUGGCUUGAACAUGAGAUACAUGUUCUGCCACCACGAUGGCUAGUAGGUUUUGGUUAGGGCUCGAGUACCUCUUGUUUUUCGUGUAGGACAAGUAAGAAGACAAGAAGGUGGUGGUGUUAUCGGGGGUGAAGAUGGCAUCGGUGACUGGAUUAUUCGGACUAGUCCGAUAGUGAAGGCAUUCGAUAAAGUUUGCAGAGUUCGGUUUUGCUAUUGCUACUUCUAAAACCGAAACCAAAAGAACAAGAC
rnacentral:lncRNA from 1 species